GUAUUGAGUUUUAUUAACUAACUGUUCUAAUCAUUUCCACCGGAAACUCAAACAGUAGUUUAUUGAUAUUUUUUUAGUCAGAAAUAAAAAAAGUACCUAAAACACAGCUUUUACAGCACAACCUGUUCAAAAAGAACACGUCUUGCAUAAAAACCUGUAUUUUCUGCACUCGUAAAUGGGAAAAAAACAUUUAAUGAUCCUUCCGCAGGUUCACCUACGGAAA
rnacentral:misc_RNA from 1 species